GAUGAACGCUGACAGAAUGCUUAACACAUGCAAGUCAACUUGAACUUCGGUUUGGGUGGCGGACGGGUGAGUAACGCGUAAAGAACUUGCCUCACAGUUAGGGACAACAUUUGGAAACGAAUGCUAAUACCUGAUAUUAUGAUUUUAGGGCAUCCUAGAAUUAUGAAAGCUAUAUGCGCUGUGAGAGAGCUUUGCGUCCCAUUAGCUAGUUGGAGAGGUAACGGCUCACCAAGGCGAUGAUGGGUAGCCGGCCUGAGAGGGUGAACGGCCACAAGGGGACUGAGACACGGCCCUUACUCCUACGGGAGGCAGCAGUGGGGAAUAUUGGACAAUGGACCAAGAGUCUGAUCCAGCAAUUCUGUGUGCACGAUGAAGUUUUUCGGAAUGUAAAGUGCUUUCAGCUGGGAAGAAAAAAAUGACGAUACCAACAGAAGAAGUGACGGCUAAAUACGUG
rnacentral:rRNA from 1 species